GACACUUAUGUAAUGAAAGUUUGAGGAACGUUUAAAGGCCAUUCAGUUCUCCUGAACGGCUGGAAUAGUUUGAUUAUAUUUCAUUGCUCCGCGCUUCACAGAGGGAGGUAGAGAAAUGGAAGUGUAUAGAGGAUGAUUGUCGUCCAACAUGAGCUUUUGUUUGGACAAAACUUUUUCCUUUCGACUGUAUUUUCUUUUCAUUGCAUGUUUUCUGGUAAUUAGGUUUGCCAGCAUGACUGCUUGCUGAAUGAAAUAAAUGGAUUGUGUUUGUUUUGAAGGCUUUCAGGUGGUUGGAAUACAAGGAAAACCAAACCGAGUGGAAACCUGAGUAAGGGCUUGGCCUACCUGGUUUUGAGGACACCUGCUCCAUGACGCUGGUGUCUCAGGAGACAACAUCUACAGCAACACACUGAUGACAUCUACACCAACACACUGACCAAACAUCUACAUCAACACACUGACCAAACAGAUCCAGCCGCACCCCUCAGAGAGCACACUACAGAGCCAGCUUCAGGAGCAUGUCAACUGGGAGCACACAGAUACAACCCUCAGAGAGCACACUACAGAGCCAGCUUCAGGAGCAUGUCAACUGGGGGCAACUGUCUCAGCCUCCAGUAUUUAUGCUGCAGUAGUUUAUGUGUCGGGGGGCUAGGGUCAGUUUGUUAUAUCUGGAGUACUUCUCCUGUCCUAUUCGGUGUCCUGUGUGAAUCUAAGUGUGCGUUCUCUAAUUCUCUCCUUCUCUCUUUCUUUCUCUCUCUCGGAGGACCUGAGCCCUAGGACCAUGUCCCAGGACUACCUGACAUGAGGACUCCUUGCUGUCCCCAGUCCACCUGGCCAUGCUCCUGCUCCAGUUUCAACUGACCUGAGCCCUAGGACCGUGCCCCAGGACUACCUGACAUGAAGGCUCCUUGCUGUCCCCAGUCCACCUGACUGUGCUGCUGCUCCAGUUUCAACUGUUCUGCCUUAUUAUUAUUCGACCAUGCUGGUCAUUUAUGAACAUUUGAACAUCUUGGUCAUGUUCUGUUAUAAUCUCUACCUGGCACAGCCAGAAGAGGACUGGCCACCCCACAUAGCCCGGUUCCUCUCUAGGUUUCUUCCUAGGUUUUGGCCUUUCUAGGGAGUUUUUCCUAGCCACCGUGCUUUUACACCUGCAUUGUUUGCUGUUUGGGGUUUUAGGCUGGGUUUCUGUACAGCACUUUGAGAUAUCAGCUGAUGUACGAAGGGCUAUAUAAAUAAAUUUGAUUUGAUUUGAUUUGAUUUGCAUAGAGAUACACCCCUCAGAGAGCACACUACAGAGCCAGCUUCAGGAGCAUGACAACUGGGAGCACACAGAUACACCCCUCAGAGAGCACACUACAGAGCCAGCUUCAGGAGCAUGUCAACUGGGAGCACACAGAUACACCCCUCAGAGAGCACACUACAGAGCCAGCUUCAGGAGCAUGACAACUGGGAGCACACAGAUACACCCCUCAGAGAGCACACUACAGAGCCAGCUUCAGGAGCAUGUCAACUGGGAGCACACAGAUACACCCCUCAGAGAGCACACUACAGAGCCAGCUUGAGGAGCAUGUCAACUGGGAGCACACAGAUACACCCCUCAGAGAGCAACCUACAGAGCCAGCUUGAGGAGCAUGGCAACUGGGAGCAUAGAUAUACACUGUCCUCAGAAGCAUCCUCCACCGCUUAUGAAGCGAGGAAGUAGAGAAUGAGAUUGAGAUCUGAAAUUCCACUCUGGCUUUAUUUAUAUUGUGUGUUGGAGACAGUUUUUUUUGUAAUUUUGUAUUAUGUGUUUAUCAUUAAAUAUGUAUCGUGUUUUUGAGGAACUGAAGUAACGAAGACCAUAGACAAGCAAUGGCACAGAUGUUGAUUGUUUUGGUUCCUUAUUUGAUUAGUGAAUGAUAUUUAGCUUGGAAAAGUGUGCCCUCUCCUU